UACGAAGGGGGCGAGCGUUGUUCGGAUUUACUGGGCGUAAAGGGCGCGCAGGCGGCUAUCCAAGUCAGGCGUGAAAGCCCCGGGCUUAACCUGGGAGGUGCGUCUGGGACUGGGUGGCUAGAGUUCGGGAGAGGAGAGUGGAAUUCCCAGUGUAGAGGUGAAAUUCGUAGAUAUUGGGAAGAACACCGGUGGCGAAGGCGGCGACCUGGUCCUUGACUGACGCUGAGGCGCGAAAGCGUGGGGAGCAAACAGG
rnacentral:rRNA from 1 species